ACUGUAAAGCAUUAAGUACCUGUACCGUAAACCGACACAGGUGGGUUGGUAGAGUAUACCAAGGGGCGCGAGAUAACUCUCUCUAAGGAACUCGGCAAAAUGACCCCGUAACUUCGGGAGAAGGGGUGCCAAGUAACUUAAAUUGCUUGGUCGCAGUGACCAGGCCCUGGCGACUGUUUAUCAAAAACACAGGUCUCCGCAAAGUCGUAAGACAACAUAUGGGGGCUGACGCCUGCCCAGUGCCGGAAGGUUAAAGAAGUUGGUUAUUCAUUUUUGGAGAAGCUGACGACUGAAGCCCCGGUGAACGGCGGCCGUAACAAUAACGGUCCUAAGGUAGCGAAAUUCCUUGUCGGGUAAGUUCCGACCCGCACGAAAGGCGUAACGAUCAGGGCACUGUCUCGGAGAGAGACUCGGUGAAAUAGACAUGUCUGUGAAGAUGCGGACUACCUGCACCUGGACAGAAAGACCCUAUGAAGCUUGACUGUAGCUUGGAAUUGGGUUCGGGCUCUUCUUGCGCAGCCUAGGUGGGAGGCGUUGAAAGCUUUCUUUUGGGAAAGCUGGAGCCAUCAGUGAGAGACCACUCUGGAGGAGCUAGAAUUCUAAUGGCGUUCCUUGAAGCAGGACGCUUGACAGUUUCAGGUGGGCAGUUUGACUGGGGCGGUCACCUCCUAAAAGGUAACGGAGGUGUGCAAAGGUUCCCUCAGGCUGGACGGAAAUCAGCCGUAGAGUGUAAAGGCAGAAGGGAGCUUGACUGCAAGACCUACAAGUCGAGCAGGGGCGAAAGCCGGCCUUAGUGAUCUGACGGUUCCAUGUGGAAGGGCCGUCGCUCAACGGAUAAAAGUUACUCUAGGAUAACAGGCUGAUCUUCCCCAAGAGUUCACAUCGACGGGAAGGUUUGGCACCUCGAUGUCGGCUCAUCGCAACCUGGGGCGGUAGUACGUCCCAAGGGUUGGGCUGUUCGCCCAUGAAAGCGGUACGUGAGCUGGGUUCAGAACGUCGUGAGACAGUUCGGUCCAUAUCCGGUGUAGGCGCUAGAGCAUUGAGAGGAGCCUUCCAUAGUACGAGAGGACCUGGAAGGACGCACCUCUGGUAUACCAGUUAUCAUGCCAAUGGUACACGCUGGGUAGCCAUGUGCGGAGUGGAUAACCGCUGAAAGCAUCUAAGUGGGAAGCCCACCUCAAGAUGAGUGCUCUCCAUUAGGUCACAGGAAGACAACCUGUUUGAUAGGCAGAAGGUGUAAGGCCAGUAAUGGUUUCAGCUGAUCUGUACUAAUAGACCGAUUGAUUUUGACAG
rnacentral:rRNA from 1 species